rnacentral:rRNA from 1 species
AUUGAACGCUGGCGGCAUGCCUUACACAUGCAAGUCGAACGGUAACAGGUCUUCGGAUGCUGACGAGUGGCGAACGGGUGAGUAAUACAUCGGAACGUGCCUAGUAGUGGGGGAUAACUACUCGAAAGAGUGGCUAAUACCGCAUGAGAUCUACGGAUGAAAGCAGGGGAUCGCAAGACCUUGUGCUACUAGAGCGGCCGAUGGCAGAUUAGGUAGUUGGUGGGAUAAAAGCUUACCAAGCCGACGAUCUGUAGCUGGUCUGAGAGGACGAUCAGCCGCACUGGGACUGGGAAACGGCCCAGACUCCUACGGGAGGCAGCAGUGGGGAAUUUUGGACAAUGGGCGAAAGCCUGAUUCAGCAAUGCCGCGUGCAGGAUGAAGGCCUUCGGGUUGUAAACUGCUUUUGUACGGAACGAAAAGCCCCGGGUUAAUACCCUGGGGUCAUGACGGUACCGUAAGAAUAAGCACCGGCUAACUACGUGACAGCAGCCGCAGUAA